rnacentral:tRNA from 1 species
AAGGGAGACCUAAUUCAGGUAGGAGACGAAAAAAAAGUAGUCGCUACCAAGAAUCAAUCCCAAAAGGUCGGAGCGAGGCGAAAUUGGCUUUCAAACUAGGUUCUGGGUUCACACAAGACCUGAAUCAGGAACAAGGGCUAUUAGCUCAGAUGGUUAGAGCGCACCCCUGAUAAGGGUGAGGUCCCUGGUUCGAGUCCAGGAUGGCCCACCUGUACAGGUGGCAAAAAGAAAGAAAAGAAGCGAGGAAUCAGCACCUUAUCUUACUGACAUAGUAAGAGAGAAUGCUGGCUCUGAGUAAAGAGUCCAGAGGAACCUUGAAAACUGCAUAGAGCUAGGUGAAAAAGCCAAAAAAGAAGACCGCAA